AUUAACUAAAUCACAAGUCAUCACACACCUUCUCUUACAUCAACACUUGCUAUUUUCAUCAAGCAAAAGCUCCCAAAGAGCUCAGCAAAAUCGCAGCCCCCUUUGGCUCAGCAAACACCAAGCAAGAACAUCAAAGACUUAAGUCGGAAUCAUCCUGGCUUAAAUCCAAACUUCACCAAACUUCAUAUCCCACAUGUUUUCGACUCCCUAUAUCCAUUUCCGGGCUUAGAUUUUAAGUUUGAAGCCUCCAACCCAUCGGAACAGCCACCACAGAACCGAACCCAGAAAACGGUCUUCUCGGGUAAAAAAUGGCAACCCGAGUUUCAAGGCCUUCCGGGUCGGUUUGAGUCGCCAAAACCCAUCAAACACCUCCCCACACAACCCUAGGGUGUCAAGGAGUCAAGAAAUCCAAGAACAACCCGCGGUUUUAGCCCAGCACGAAGAAACAGCCCGACUGCCCAGUCGGGUCGAAAUUUCUGACUGUCUGUGCGGUUUUCUUGCAGAUUGGGUCGAUACGAGACCCUUUUAGCCAAACGACCACCACCAUCACCUCCGGAGGUGAGUUAGGAGUCGGGAGCCGCUGACCUUGCAUCAAAAUUCCAUCGGGAUCCACCGUGGAGAAUUCCGACCAGAAAACUGCCCAAUCGGGCCAGUUUCCAGGACGCACUCUGUUUUUCGUGAUAUUUGCAGGACUAUACGGGUCGACUUGAUAACUCUGGGUACAAACGACCACCACAGUCACCUAGAGGGGUCCCGUGGCUACCCUGGGCCGCUGACCUUGCCUCAAAAUUCCAUCGGGAGCCUCCGUGGCGACGUUCGACCCGACUUGUGCCAAUCGGGUCUGUUCUGGCCCAGUUGAGUCUGUUUUCUGCUUACUGACCUGACUUUGCUUUUGAUUUUCGGAAAAUCCACGGGUGCUCUCUUCCUGAAACCACGGCAGGGACGUUAAGCAUCCUCUUAGAUUUCCCGAACAGUUGAGAACUCUCCGAAAAGCCACCCGAGCCGCCCGAACCGGUCUGUUUUCUCCCGGGUGCCCAGUCGGGUCAGAUUACUCCAGACAGGCCUAUUGUUGCCAACCGGGUCUGUUCAACGAAAAACAGCCCAAACCCGACCCACCAACGGUCCAACCCGACUUCUAACAGUCCCAUCCCGCAUCCCGGGACUAGGUACGUACUUUGGGUGUUGUACUUCUUAUCGGUCGGUUAUCGGUGUUAGCCAGUUAAUCCUGGGGAGGGCUGGUCCAGCGAGCCUCGGUGCUCGUAUCUCUGGACACCCGCACGGGCAUCAAACAGUGAGCCCGUGACAAGUGGUAUCAGAGCUAGUCCCGGUGGGAGCAAGCCAUGAUGACUAAGGUCGACAAGGAUCAAGUGACAAGCGUCGUGACGCUUCGGCUCAGGCAGGGGAGUGCUUUCCUACGAGAGGAAAGCGUGGAGACUCCAAGCUUGGGUGUCGAGAGUCGCCGGUCCUCGUUCAGCAAGUAAGCUGGUCAUGGUGUCUCACUGGGACGAUCCAAUGGUUAACUGGCUAGGAAAGACACAUAAUACAACAACCAACGAAGGCGUAAAUAGUCAUGGAGCCUGAUGAGUCCUUAUGUCCUUGUCCGUGGGGGAGUUUGUGUAGUGGGAGCCGAACUGCUCAGGAAUUGACACCAUUAUGACGUGGUGUGGGAUGAAGGCAGUGUUGUUGCUGAGGUACUGACACCACGAGGGUUGUGGUGUGGGGUGAAGGCGACGUAAGGCGUUGGGACUGCUACACGGACAAGCCCGCAACGAGGACGUUUGCGGUUUGGGUAGGGGAGAAUGUCACGGGCCAGCUUCCUAGUCCCUCCCCAAGUGCGAUAAUGGAGUUCCUAUGACUGUAUACUGAUUGCCUUCAUUGUACGUGGACUAAUAUGAGCUGCUCUAUCACAGGUACGUACUUUGGGUGUUGUACUUCUUAUCGGUCGGUUAUCGGUGUUAGCCAAUUAAUCCUGGGGAGGGCUGGUCCAGCGAGCCUCGGUGCUCGUAUCUCUGGACGCCCGCAUGGGCAUCAAACAGUGAGCCCGUGACACUAGCAUGUCGGGAAAUGUUUAAAUCAAAGUCGAGGAACCCAUUCCAACCAGGAAAAGCCGAGAUACCUCUCGGGUUAACCUCUUGAUGAGGUAACCGAGAGCAUUCUUGACCUUUUCGGGUCAAGAUCGAAUUCAUUUGCCCCGAUUUAAAUUGUUUCCCAAGUUUUAUGCUUUUACCGCAUCCAUGGAGCCGGUAUUGUUCUAUCGAUUCCAUAAAUAACUUGUUUGUGCUUGCUUGUAUACUUGAAUGUGUUUUCCAACUCAUUGCGAUA